rnacentral:rRNA from 1 species
GAUGAACGCUGGCGGCGUGCCUAAUACAUGCAAGUCGAGCGAACGGACGAGAAGCUUGCUUCUCUGAUGUUUGCGGCGGACGGGUGUGUAACACGUGUAUAAUCUACCUAUAAUACUGGGAUAUCUUCGGGAAACCGGAGCUAAUACCGGAUAAUAUUUUGAACCGUGUGGUUCAAUAGUGAAAGACGGUCUUGCUGUCUCUUAUAGAUGGAUCCGCGCUGCAUUAGCGAGUUGGUAAGUUAACGGCUUACCAAGGCAACGAGGCGUAGCCGACGUCAGAGGCUGAUAGGCCACACUGGAACUGAGCCACGGUCAAGACUCCUACGGGAGGCAGCAGAAGGGAAUCUUCCGCAAUGGGCGAAAGCCUGACGGAGCAAGGCGGCGUGAGUGAUGAAGGUCUUCGGAUCGUAAAACUCUGUUAUUAGGGAAGAACAUAUGUGUAAGUAACUGUGCACAUCUUGACGGUACCUAAUCAGAAAGCCACGGCUAACUACGUG